rnacentral:rRNA from 1 species
GGUUAAGCGACUAAGCGUACACGGUGGAUGCCCUGGCAGUCAGAGGCGAUGAAGGACGUGCUAAUCUGCGAUAAGCGUCGGUAAGGUGAUAUGAACCGUUAUAACCGGCGAUUUCCGAAUGGGGAAACCCAGUGUGAUUCGUCACACUAUCAUUAACUGAAUCCAUAGGUUAAUGAGGCGAACCGGGGGAACUGAAACAUCUAAGUACCCCGAGGAAAAGAAAUCAACCGAGAUUCCCCCAGUAGCGGCGAGCGGACGGGGAGCAGCCCAGAGCCUGAAUCAGUGUGUGUGUUAGUGGAAGCGUCUGGAAAGGCGUGCGAUACAGGGUGACAGCCCCGUACACAAAAAUGCACAUAUUGUGAGCUUGAUGAGUAGGGCGGGACACGUGGUAUCCUGUCUGAAUAUGGGGGGACCAUCCUCCAAGGCUAAAUACUCCUGACUGACCGAUAGUGAACCAGUACCGUGAGGGAAAGGCGAAAAGAACCCCGGCGAGGGGAGUGAAAAAGAACCUGAAACCGUGUACGUACAAGCAGUGGGAGCACGCUUAGGCGUGUGACUGCGUACCUUUUGUAUAAUGGGUCAGCGACUUAUAUUCUGUAGCAAGGUUAACCGAAUAGGGGAGCCGAAGGGAAACCGAGUCUUAACUGGGCGUUAAGUUGCAGGGUAUAGACCCGAAACCCGGUGAUCUAGCCAUGGGCAGGUUGAAGGUUGGGUAACACUAACUGGAGGACCGAACCGACUAAUGUUGAAAAAUUAGCGGAUGACUUGUGGCUGGGGGUGAAAGGCCAAUCAAACCGGGAGAUAGCUGGUUCUCCCCGAAAGCUAUUUAGGUAGCGCCUCGUGAAUUCAUCUCCGGGGGUAGAGCACUGUUUCGGCA